rnacentral:rRNA from 1 species
CGAUGUCUAGGGGCUCUGAGAGGAUUGUCCCCCACACUGGUACUGAGACACGGACCAGACUCCUACGGGAGGCAGCAGUAAGGAAUAUUGGUCAAUGGACGAAAGUCUGAACCAGCCAUGCCGCGUGCAGGAUGACGGCCCUAUGGGUUGUAAACUGCUUUUAUACGGGAAGAAUCCCCUGUACGUGUACAGGGUUGACGGUACCGUACGAAUAAGGAUCGGCUAACUCCGUGCCAGCAGCCGCGGUAAUACGGAGGAUCCAAGCGUUAUCCGGAUUUAUUGGGUUUAAAGGGUGCGUAGGCGGAAUGAUAAGUUAGUGGUGAAAUCCCUCGGCUCAACCGGGGCACUGCCAUUAAAACUGUCAUUCUUGAGUAUAGUUGAAGUGGGCGGAAUGUAUCAUGUAGCGGUGAAAUGCUUAGAUAUGAUACAGAACACCGAUAGCGUAGGCAGCUUGCUAAACUAUAACUGACGCUCAGGCACGAAAGCGUGGGGAGCAAACAGGAUUAGAUACCCUGGUAGUCCACGCCGUAAACGAUGAUCACUCGCUGUUGGCGAUACACAGUCAGCGGCUUAGGGAAACCAUUAAGUGAUCCACCUGGGGAGUACGGUCGCAAGAUUGAAACUCAAAGGAAUUGACGGGGGCCCGCACAAGCGGAGGAGCAUGUGGUUUAAUUCGAUGAUACGCGAGGAACCUUACCUGGGCUUAAAUGUAAGACGACAGUCCCCGAAAGGGGACUUUCCUUCGGGACGUCCUACAAGGUGCUGCAUGGUUGUCGUCAGCUCGUGCCGUGAGGUGUCGGGUUAAGUCCCAUAACGAGCCAACCCCUAUCCUUAGUUGCCAUCAGAUAAUGCUGGGGACUCUAAGGAAACUGCCUACGCAAGUAGUGAGGAAGGUGGGGAUGACGUCAAAUCAGCACGGCCCUUAUGUCCAGGGCUACACACGUGCUACAAUGGCCGGUACAGAGGGCAGCUACCUGGUGACAGGAUGCUAAUCUCGAAAACCGGUCUCAGUUCGGAUCGAAGUCUGCAACUCGACUUCGUGAAGUCGGAUUCGCUAGUAAUCGCACAUCAGCCAUGGCGCGGUGAAUACGUUCCCGGGCCUUGUACACACCGCCCGUCAAGCCAUGGAAGCUGGGGGUACCUAAAGUCCGUAACCGCAAGGAGCGGCCUAGGGUAAAACUAGUAACUGGGGCUAAGUCGGAACAAGGUA